rnacentral:rRNA from 1 species
AUGAACGCUAGCGACAGGCUUAACACAUGCAAGUCGAGGGGCAUCAUGAGGUAGCAAUACCUUGAUGGCGACCGGCGCACGGGUGAGUAACGCGUAUGCAACCUGCCUGAUACCGGGGUAUAGCCCAUGGAAACGUGGAUUAACACCCCAUAGUACUUUUAUCCUGCAUGGGAUGUGAGUUAAAUGUUUAAGGUAUCGGAUGGGCAUGCGUCCUAUUAGUUAGUUGGCGGGGUAACAGCCCACCAAGACGAUGAUAGGUAGGGGUUCUGAGAGGAAGGUCCCCCACAUUGGAACUGAGACACGGUCCAAACUCCUACGGGAGGCAGCAGUGAGGAAUAUUGGUCAAUGGACGUAAGUCUGAACCAGCCAAGUCGCGUGAGGGAAGACUGCCCUAUGGGUUGUAAACCUCUUUUAUAAGGGAAGAAUAAGUUCUACGUGUAGAAUGAUGCCUGUACCUUAUGAAUAAGCAUCGGCUAACUCCGUGCCAGCAGCCGCGGUAAUACGGAGGAUGCGAGCGUUAUCCGGAUUUAUUGGGUUUAAAGGGUGCGUAGGCGGUUUAUUAAGUUAGUGGUUAAAUAUUUGAGCUAAACUCAAUUGUGCCAUUAAUACUGGUAAACUGGAGUACAGACGAGGUAGGCGGAAUAAGUUAAGUAGCGGUGAAAUGCAUAGAUAUAACUUAGAACUCCGAUAGCGAAGGCAGCUUACCAGACUGUAACUGACGCUGAUGCACGAGAGCGUGGGUAGCGAACAGGAUUAGAUACCCUGGUAGUCCACGCCGUAAACGAUGAAUACUAGGUGUCGGGGCCCAUAAGGGCUUCGGUGCCGCAGCAAACGCAAUAAGUAUUCCACCUGGGGAGUACGUUCGCAAGAAUGAAACUCAAAGGAAUUGACGGGGGCCCGCACAAGCGGAGGAACAUGUGGUUUAAUUCGAUGAUACGCGAGGAACCUUACCUGGGUUUAAAUGGGAAAUGUCGUAUUUGGAAACAGAUAUUCUCUUCGGAGCGUUUUUCAAGGUGCUGCAUGGUUGUCGUCAGCUCGUGCCGUGAGGUGUCGGGUUAAGUCCCAUAACGAGCGCAACCCUUACCGUUAGUUGCUAGCAUGUAAUGAUGAGCACUCUAACGGGACUGCCACCGUAAGGUGAGAGGAAGGCGGGGAUGACGUCAAAUCAGCACGGCCCUUACACCCAGGGCUACACACGUGUUACAAUGGCCGGUACAGAGGGCCGCUACCAGGUGACUGGAUGCCAAUCUCAAAAGCCGGUCGUAGUUCGGAUUGGAGUCUGUAACCCGACUCCAUGAAGUUGGAUUCGCUAGUAAUCGCGCAUCAGCCAUGGCGCGGUGAAUACGUUCCCGGGCCUUGUACACACCGCCCGUCAAGCCAUGGAAGCCGGGGGUGCCUGAAGUCCGUAACCGCGAGGAUCGGCCUAGGGCAAAACUGGUAACUGGGGCU